rnacentral:rRNA from 2 species
GUGACCUCGGAUCAGGUAGGAU